rnacentral:lncRNA from 1 species
CUCUCUCCCCAUCUCUCUCCACCUCUCUCCUUCAAAUCUCUCCACCUCUCUCCAUCUCUCUCUCCCCAUCUAUCUCCACCUCUCUCCUUCAAAUCUCUCCAUCUCUCUCCCUCUCUCUCUGCAUGGGUGUAUAAAACCAUUUUGCUUGUACAUUUUAAAGUGUUCUUUUUCGUCUCAUUUCCACUCACCUCCAAAGCUUCUCUCAAAGAAAACAAAAGAUAAAAAAGAACAAAAGUUCUACAAAAUUAAAGAAAUUCACUACCCUUUUCCCCACUCUUCACUUUCUCUCCAAAGUCUUCAUUUUUCUUUUGAUUCUCUCCCAUCUCUCUGCUUCCAAAACCUCCCAUAACAUUGUACACAUAUUUUCAAAC